UAUAAAAUUUAAAUGCCAUUUAAUUAAGAGGUCAAGUGGGCAAGUGGGUAGAAAAGCACUCAAGUACCUUGUGAUAUUUUGAAGAGUAUUGUGAGCAAUUCCCACACUAAGAACCGAUCACUCUCCAUCUCUCAUUCACUAUCAUCUUUUUUGAAGACCUCUCAAAGUGUUCUCUCCAUUUUUCAAGCCCAAGAACACCAAGGAAACUUUGAGGCUAAGUCUUGGUCUAGGAAGUAUUUUCCCUAAGUUUGUUAGGGUUUUUGAAAGGUUUUGAAGGAGUCAAAGCUUAUAGGAAGGUCCAAACCUUAAGCAAGAACACCAAAGAGGUAAGAGCAAGGGCAAGGCAGAGCAGUGAGCGCUGGAGUCUUCCUUGCAAAUGUACAUGUGGACCGACCUUUUGGGAAGCCUUUUUAUUUUUGGAAAUGUUGUGUAAUUUUCCUAAACUAGGCUCACUCUAAUCUUUAUAAAACAUGUUUGUAACUAAAUGUUAAGUAUGGCCAUACGACUUUUUAAAAAGUUUUUUUUUUCUAUGGGUUUUUGAGACAUUUUGUUAAAUGAAAACAUUUAUAUUUCCGCAUUA